GGACUGACUGCUAUCGGAUUGAUACUAAGCCAUGCGAGUCAUUGUAGUAAUACAAGGCAGACGGCUCAGUAACGCGUAGUCAACCUAACCUAUGGACGGGAAUAACCUCGGGAAACUGAGUAUAAUGCCCGAUAGAACAUUAUGCCUGGAAUGGUUUAUGUUCCAAAUGAUUUAUCGCCGUAGGAUGGGACUGCGGCCUAUCAGUUUGUUGGUGAGGUAAUGGCCCACCAAGACUAUUACAGGUACGGGCUCUGAGAGGAGUAGCCCGGAGAUGGGUACUGAGACACGGACCCAGGCCCUAUGGGGCGCAGCAGGCGAGAAAACUUUGCAAUGUGCGAAAGCACGACAAGGUUAAUCCGAGUGGUUUCUGCUAAAGGAACCUUUUGUCGGUCCUAGAAACACCGAUGAAUAAGGGGUGGGCAAGUUCUGGUGUCAGCCGCCGCGGUAAAACCAGCACCUCAAGUGGUCAGGAUGAUUAUUGGGCCUAAAGCAUCCGUAGCCGGCUCUAUAAGUUUUCGGUUAAAUCUGUACGCUCAACGUACAGGCUGCCGGGAGUACUGCAGAGCUAGGGAGUGGGAGAGGUAGACGGUACUCGGUAGGAAGGGGUAAAAUCCUUUGAUCUAUUGAUGACCACCUGUGGCGAAGGCGGUCUGCCAGAACACGUCCCGACGGUGAGGGAUGAAAGCUGGGGGAGCAAACCGGAUUAGAACCCGGGUAGUCCCAGCUGUAAACUAUGCAAACUCA
rnacentral:rRNA from 1 species